UACGUAGGUGGCAAGCGUUAUCCGGAUUUAUUGGGCGUAAAGGGGACGCAGGCGGUCUUUUAAGUCUGAUGUGAAAGCCUUCGGCUUAACCGGAGUAGUGCAUUGGAAACUGGGAGACUUGAGUGCAGAAGAGGAGAGUGGAACUCCAUGUAUAGCGGUGAAAUGCGUAGAUAUAUGGAAGAACACCAGUGGCGAAAGCGGCUCUCUGGUCUGUAACUGACGCUGAGGUUCGAAAGCGUGGGUAGCAAACAGG
rnacentral:rRNA from 1 species